GCUGGGCAUGAUGGCUCAUGCCUGUAAUCCCAGCACUUUGGGAGGCCGAGGCGGGUGGAUCACCUGAGGUCAGGAGUUCCAGACCAGCCUGGCCAACAUGGUGAAACCCCAUCUCUA
ensembl:misc_RNA Metazoa_SRP Metazoan signal recognition particle RNA